rnacentral:rRNA from 1 species
AGCGAACGCUGGCGGCAGGCCUAACACAUGCGAGUCGAACGGACCCUUCGGGGUUAGUGGCGGACGGGUGAGUAACACGUGGGAACGUGCCCUUAGGUUCGGCAUAGCUCCUGGAAACGGGUGGUAAUGCCGAAUGUGCCCUUCGGGGAAAGAUUUAUCGCCUUUCGAGCGGCCCGCGUCUGAUUAGCUAGUUGGUGAGGUAAUGGCUCACCAAGGCGACGAUCAGUAGCUGGUCGGAGAGGAUGACCAGCCACAUUGGGACUGAGACACGGCCCAAACUCCUACGGGAGACAGCAGUGGGGAAUCUUGCGCAAUGGGCGAAAGCCUGACGCAGCCAUGCCGCGUGGAUGAUGAAGGUCUUAGGAUUGUAAAAUCCUUUCACCGGUGAAGAUAAUGACUGUAGCCGGAGAAGAAGCCCCGGCUAACUUCGUGCCAGCCGCCGCCGUAAUAC